CAGUCGCCGCGGUAAUACGAAGGUGGCUAGCGUUGCUCGGAAUCACUGGGCGUAAAGGGUGCGUAGGCGGGUCUUUAAGUCAGGGGUGAAAUCCUGGAGCUCAACUCCAGAACUGCCUUUGAUACUGAAGAUCUUGAGUUCGGGAGAGGUGAGUGGAACUGCGAGUGUAGAGGUGAAAUUCGUAGAUAUUCGCAAGAACACCAGUGGCGAAGGCGGCUCACUGGCCCGAUACUGACGCUGAGGCACGAAAGCGUGGGGAGCAAACAGGAUUAGAUACCCGGGUAGUCCCUGUCUCUUAUAU
rnacentral:rRNA from 1 species